CAAAAGGGUUGGCGGAAUGAGUCACCAUAGAAGGGACUUAACCCGCAUUGGUUGGCUUCCUAGGGCAAUUGCGUUACGCGUGCUUCGCAAUUACACAGAAAACGGCUACUAAAAUGCCCUGCCCGGGGAUUGGAUUCAGCCCCACCAGAAAGGCUAAGGUUGGAGUUGAUUUGGGCUGUGAUUUGAAGCCAUCCCUGCCUUUUGAACAUACCCAUGGGUCCCAAGUCUUCCAUACCUGUGAGCACCCAUCUCCUCUCCUGCCUUCUUCCAUCACGCCUUGAGGCGCGAGUUCCAGUCAAGGAUGCUGAGAGCUGGGGUCGUCCUCUAUUCCAUCAGCCGCCGUGCCACCCCUCGGUUUCAGGAUAAUGUAGCUAACUGCUGACUUUUAGUGUGGACCCUGUGGCAAUUCUGAGAGAAGAACUGACUUUCAUUUUAAUGCUGUUGUAAAAUGUCUAGAGAUGCGUAGCUAUAAGGCACUAUAAAAGUUUAAGAUAUUAUUGUUAAAAGGACGCAGUAAGGCUGUUCAUGGAAAAGGUUCAGCUGAGUACAGAAGAACAGGGGCUGGAAAGAAAAUAAAAAAUAAAAGAAUCCAGGAUGGUUUUUGUCAUUGUU
rnacentral:lncRNA from 1 species